rnacentral:rRNA from 1 species
CAGUCGCCGCGGGAAUACGUAGGUGGCAAGCGUCGUCCGGAAUUAUUGGGCGUAAAGGGCUCGCAGGCGGUUUCUUAAGUCUGAUGUGAAAGCCCCCGGCUCAACCGGGGAGGGUCAUUGGAAACUGGGAAACUUGAGUGCAGAAGAGGAGAGUGGAAUUCCACGUGUAGCGGUGAAAUGCGUAGAGAUGUGGAGGAACACCAGUGGCGAAGGCGACUCUCUGGUCUGUAACUGACGCUGAGGAGCGAAAGCGUGGGGAGCGAACAGGAUUAGAUACCCGAGUAGUCCCUGUCUCUUAUAC